rnacentral:rRNA from 1 species
CUUGUUGGCGGGGUAACGGCCCACCAAGGCGACGAUCCGUAGCUGGUCUGAGAGGACGAUCAGCCACACUGGGACUGAGACACGGCCCAGACUCCUACGGGAGGCAGCAGUGGGGAAUCUUGCGCAAUGGGCGAAAGCCUGACGCAGCGACGCCGCGUGAGGGAAGAAGGCCUUCGGGUUGUAAACCUCUUUCAGGAGGGACGAAGCCACUCGGGUUAAUAGCCCAGAGGGUGACGGUACCUCCAGAAGAAGCCCCGGCUAACUACGUGCCAGCAGCCGCGGUAAUACGUAGGGGGCAAGCGUUGUCCGGAUUUAUUGGGCGUAAAGAGCGUGUAGGCGGCUUCACAAGUCCGCUGUGAAAACUCGAGGCUCAACCUCGAGCUGUCGGUGGAAACUGUGUGGCUAGAGUCCGGAAGAGGAGAGUGGAAUUCCCGGUGUAGCGGUGAAAUGCGCAGAUAUCGGGAAGAACACCGGUGGCGAAGGCGGAUCUCUGGGCCUUACCUGACGCUCAGGCGCGAAAGCUAGGGGAGCGAACAGGAUUAGAUACCCUGGUAGUCCUAGCCGUAAACGUUGGGUGCUAGGUGUGGGCGGAUAUCAACCCCGUCCGUGCCGAAGCUAACGCAUUAAGCACCCCGCCUGGGGAGUACGGCCGCAAGGCUAAAACUCAAAGGAAUUGACG